CCUACGGGUGGCAGCAGUGGGGAAUAUUGGACAAUGGGGGCAACCCUGAUCCAGCCAUGCCGCGUGUGUGAAGAAGGCCCUCGGGUUGUAAUGCACUUUCAGUGAGGAAGAACGCCUGGUGGUUAAUACCCAUCAGGAAAGACAUCACUCACAGAAGAAGCACCGGCUAACUCCGUGCCAGCAGCCGCGGUAAUACGGAGGGUGCGAGCGUUAAUCGGAAUUACUGGGCGUAAAGCGCGCGUAGGUGGCUUGAUAAGCCGGUUGUGAAAGCCCCGGGCUCAACCUGGGAACGGCAUCCGGAACUGUCAAGCUAGAGUGCAGGAGAGGAAGGUAGAAUUCCCGGUGUAGCGGUGAAAUGCGUAGAGAUCGGGAGGAAUACCAGUGGCGAAGGCGGCCUUCUGGACUGACACUGACACUGGGGUGCGAAAGCGUGGGUAGCAAACAGGAUUAGAUACCCUUGUAGUC
rnacentral:rRNA from 1 species